ACGAUUAAGUAGUGAAGGGCGCACGGCGGAUGCCUAGGUACCAAGAGCCGAUGAAGGACGGAACAAACACCGAUAUGCUUCGGGGAGCUGUAAGUAAGCGAUGAACCGGAGAUUUCCGAAUGGGGAAACCCAAUACCGCGAGGUAUUACCACAGCGUGAAUACAUAGCGCUGUUGGAGGACACCUGGAGAACUGAAACAUCUUAGUAUCCAGAGGAAGAGAAAGAAAAAUCGAUUCCCUAAGUAGCGGCGAGCGAACGGGGAAGAGCCCAAACCAGCUUCGGCUGGGGUUGUAGGACAUUCACAACGGAUCUAAAGACUUAGACGAAUGGUCUGGGAAGGCCAACCGCAGGGGGUAAGAGUCCCGUAGUUAAAAGGUUGAUAGAUUUAGAAUGUAUCCUGAGUACGGCGGAACACGAGGAAUUCCGUCGGAAUCCGGGAGGACCAUCUCCCAAGGCUAAAUACUCCUUGGUAACCGAUAGUGAACCAGUACCGUGAGGGAAAGGUGAAAAGCACCCCGGGAGGGGAGUGAAAUAGAACCUGAAACCGUGCGCUUACAAGUAGUCAGAGCCCGUUAAUGGGUGAUGGCGUGCCUUUUGUAGAAUGAACCGGCGAGUUACGAUUAUAUGCAAGGUUAAGCAGUGAAUGUGGAGCCGCAGCGAAAGCGAGUCUGAAUAGGGCGACUGAGUAUAUGAUUGUAGACGCGAAACCAGGUGAUCUACCCAUGACCAGGCUGAAGUUCAGGUAACACUGAAUGGAGGGCCGAACCGACUUACGUUGAAAAGUGACCGGAUGAGUUGUGGGUAGGGGUGAAAUUCCAAUCGAACCUGGAGAUAGCUCGUUCUCUCCGAAAUAUAUUUAGGUAUAGCCUCAUAUAAGCAUCGUGGAGGUAGAGCACUGUUUGGAUGAGGGGCCCAUCCCGGGUUACCGAGUUCAGACAAACUCCGAAUGCCACAGAUGUAAUGUAUGGGAGUCAGACAGUGGGUGAUAAGGUCCAUUGUCGAGAGGGAAACAGCCCAGACCACCAGUUAAGGUCCC
rnacentral:rRNA from 2 species